AAGACCGACUUCGAGACUGGAAACGGCAUCGCCAGGAACGAGGCUGGAAGGCAGGCUGAUGGACAGGAGUCCUCAGGAGGAUGGAGCUACACCGCUCCCGAAGGCAUCCCCAUCAAGCUGACCUUCACCUCUGGUGCCGGCGGUUACCAGCCCGUAGGCGACCAUCUUCCCGUGGGACCCACACCAGUGCCUCUUCCUUACGAACGCAACGACUACUAAAUCUCUUUUUCUAAGUCUAGUGUCUGCUUCAUAUUAACGAUCUCAGUGAUAUGAAAUGAGCCAUAUUGACGUUUUCUCCUUUUCACUAUUUAUUGAACGAAUUUCGUUCACGCCUGAUUAUCUUCAAUAAAACCUUAUCUACAAUA
rnacentral:lncRNA from 1 species